rnacentral:rRNA from 1 species
CGGCGAGUGAAGCGGCAAGAGCUCAAAUUUGAAAGCUGACUCCUUCGGGGUCCGCAUUGUAAUUUGCAGAGGAUGCUUCGGGAGCGGUCCCCAUCUAAGUGCCCUGGAACGGGACGUCAUAGAGGGUGAGAAUCCCGUAUGGGAUGGGGUGUCCGCGCCCGUGUGAAGCUCCUUCGACGAGUCGAGUUGUUUGGGAAUGCAGCUCUAAAUGGGUGGUAAAUUUCAUCUAAAGCUAAAUAUUGGCCGGAGACCGAUAGCGCACAAGUAGAGUGAUCGAAAGAUGAAAAGCACUUUGAAAAGAGAGUUAAAAAGCACGUGAAAUUGUUGAAAGGGAAGCGCUUGCGACCAGACUCGCUCGCGGGGUUCAGCCGGCAUUCGUGCCGGUGUACUUCCCCGCGAGCGGGCCAGCGUCGGUUUGGGCGGUCGGUCAAAGGCCCUCGGAAGGUAACGCCCCUAGGGGCGUCUUAUAGCCGAGGGUGCAAUGCGACCUGCCUAGACCGAGGAACGCGCUUCGGCUCGGACGCUGGCAUAAUGGUCGUAAGCGACCCGUCU